GGCGGAAUCACUGGGCUUAAAGCGUGUGUAGGCGGCUCGUUAAGUACCUUGUGAAAUCCCACGGCUCAACCGUGGAACUGCUCGGUAUACUGGCGGUCUUGAGCCACCUAGGGGCAACUGGAACAAGCGGUGGAGCGGUGAAAUGCGUAGAUAUCGCUUGGAACGCCAACGGUGAAAACAGGUUGCUGGGGGUGUGCUGACGCUGAGACACGAAAGCCAGGGGAGCGAACGGG
rnacentral:rRNA from 1 species